CGGACGGGUGAGUAACGCGUGGGAACGUGCCCUUUGGUACGGAACAACUGAGGGAAACUUCAGCUAAUACCGUAUGUGCCCUAUGGGGGAAAGAUUUAUCGCCAUUGGAGCGGCCCGCGUUAGAUUAGCUAGUUGGUAGGGUAAUGGCCUACCAAGGCGACGAUCUAUAGCUGGUCUGAGAGGAUGAUCAGCCACACUGGGACUGAGACACGGCCCAGACUCCUACGGGAGGCAGCAGUAGGGAAUCUUGCGCAAUGGGCGAAAGCCUGACGCAGCCAUGCCGCGUGAAUGAUGAAGGUCUUAGGAUUGUAAAAUUCUUUCACCGGGGACGAUAAUGACGGUACCCGGAGAAGAAGCCCCGGCUAACUUCGUGCCAGCAGCCGCGGUAAUACGAAGGGGGCUAGCGUUGCUCGGAAUUACUGGGCGUAAAGGGCGCGUAGGCGGACAGUUUAGUCAGAGGUGAAAGCCCAGGGCUCAACCUUGGAAUUGCCUUUGAUACUGGCUGUCUUGAGUACGGGAGAGGUGAGUGGAACUCCGAGUGUAGAGGUGAAAUUCGUAGAUAUUCGGAAGAACACCAGUGGCGAAGGCGACUCACUGGCCCGUUACUGACGCUGAGGCGCGAAAGCCUGGGGAGCAAACAGGAUUAGAUACCCUGGUAGUCCACGCCGUAAACGAUGAGUGCUAGUUGUCGGCAUGCAUGCAU
rnacentral:rRNA from 1 species